ACAGGAUACGGAGGCAUAACACCUUAGUUCUCAGGAAUGGCGAUGCAUAAAUAGUAUUACGGAUGACAUAGUAUACUCUGUUAUGUCCAUGGUACUGUUCAUGUCUAUAGGCGACGGUUACCACUUUUAAUUUCCAUCAGCUUGUUUGCCACUUUAAUAACACAAGAAAAAAUGACUGAAUUCUGAAAACAUCGCUAAGGCCUAACUGCGGUUGCCAACCCAGGACACUAGUGGCAGUACAGGACAUCUACUACAUGUCUAGCAGUGGACAGGUAACAGCUGCUUUGGUAUACCAUACCAUAAGAAAAGUAGCUUGGAUUAAAAAGAAGAAAAAAAAAACCCAACCUAGCAAGAAUAAUUAGUAUUUCAAAUUAAUUUGUCAAAGCUAUCACCGUUGAAACUGUUGUAUCCUCAUCAUUAUUAUUAUAAAAAAAUUCUUCUAAGUCAUUAUUAUCAUUUUCAUUAUUUAUAACAUUUAUUAUUAUAAUUAUCAGUCAUUAGUCAUAGUACUGCAGUGUGUUUAUAUUCACUUUGUACUAUAAAUAAGGAGUUAUUACUUUUUUAAUGUCGCAGAUGGCCUUGACAGCUUCACCGGGCACGUGUACGGCGAGUGCGGAUGGCACUCCAAGCCCGCGAUAGGCGAGUGACAGAGUGUCGACUCUCACCAUCUAAUCAUAAUGUCGUUUGGUUCCGACUUGGAAUAGGUCACCCUUUUUUCUCCUGUAAGUGUUGUAAGAGGCGAUUAGGGAACUUAAUGGCCGAGACAGCCAACAGCCUUCCUCAAGCAUCAUCAAAGCUUAACUGCGGAUGCCGAUCCAACUACCGGCAAAACUCAACAUAGCAACCACUGGCAAAACCCUCCAAGCUAGACAAUAUUUAAUAUAUUCAUUUUUUUAUUUCACGAACUUAUAUAUAUGAAUUAUCAUGUAAUUACAUUUAAGAAAAUAAUGGAAGAUAAGGAAUAUGCUAUGGACUUGAUGGUAUCAAUAAUGAUUUGCAUUUGGAUUUUGAAAGACUAUUUACUUAUAGUAAUUUUUUGUGCCGAAUGCGAAAAAUUCUACUCGGCAGUAAACGAUGCUCAAGUACUCAGCGUCACUCUCUUGAUGACUACAGGAAACUCAGAAGAAGAAAGAAGGUUGUUUAAAAAUGUACAACGAAUAAACAAGUCGGUUUUUCAAAAAGUUAACGUCUGCUGUAUGUUCAUUAUGGACGCUGGGUCAACACUACAAUUGCUCAGUUUGUUUACCACAUAUAUAAUUGUAAUAUUACAAUUGGCAUUCACUAAUUAUUUAUCUUCAUAAUAAU